AAAAAAUCUAAUCUUUUUUUCAUUGAUGUUAAUUUUUUGUUACAAUCUCAACUUGUCUAAAAAAUACAAAUCAAAUCAAAUAUGUGAAAAAGUUUCCAAAAUGAAUCAAUCAAAAGUUAAUAUUAAACCUAAUGUUAACACUAUAUAAACUAAGUCAAAAUUUACAACAACUCAUACACGAUUUACAAAUUACAGAUCCCUAAAGUUAUUAUUCUUCACAUUGAGUAACAGCAACGCUAAGAUCAAACCCUAAAACUAAACUCCAUCUGUCCAGUAGCCAAACUUCCAAGCAAUACCUCGCAGCCAAAGAAAGAAGAAGAAGAAGAAGAAUUCAAAGACGAUUCAAACAAAAAGAAAAGAAGGAGAAAGAAGUUAAAAAACAAAAUACUUUCCCUUUUAAAAUAAAUCGUAGAUAGCCUCUUCUCCGUAGGUUGGUACCACAUAUCAUCAUGCAUGAUGUCUUCUUGCGAUUCUUGUUAGAAAUUUGUGUGCUUGUUGGUUAUGUAUGUUGUUUAAGAUUCAAAAAUUCUUGUUUAGGUUUCGAUUUGGGGUUCGGUUUGGGUAAAAAUAAGGUUUUUUUUUGUAUUAGGGUUUGAAAUUAUUUUGUUGAUUUUGAUGUUCUGGGUUGGGAUUGGUAAUUAGGGGUAUUUAAUCUAUAGUUUAGGGUUAGUUUGAGUAAAUUCUGGGUGGUUUAAGACUAUGUCUGGGUUAGGUUAGGGAUAAGUUAGGGUUGGCUGACGAAAGAAGAUGAAGGUUCAUCUUCUUCAGGUUAGGGUUCGUGAUGGGUUUGAGUUAGGGUUCAUCUUCAUAUGUCAGGGUUCUUGGGGUUCUGGGUUGUUAGGGUUAGGGUUCAUCUCACGUUCUUAGGGUUCUGGGUUUAGAUUAGGGUUCUUAAGGAUGAUGAAUGUUCGUGAUGAAUAUUCAUUGUGAUCUGGGUUCUAGGGUGGUCCUAUGGGUAUUUUAGGGUGGUUUAGUGGUAGUGCAUGAAUGUCAUAGCCUUUUAGGUGGUGGUUUUAGGGGGAAGUUAUAUAGAGAAGGUAGAAAGAAUAGAAGAAGAGAUAGAAAGUGAAGAAAGGGGAGAGAUAAAGAGAGAAAGAAAU
rnacentral:lncRNA from 1 species